rnacentral:tRNA from 1 species
AGGAUUAUAGUUUAAAUAAAACAUUUGAUUUGCAAUCAAAAAAUAUUAUAAUUUAACUUUAAUUUAUCUUA